ACCACCUCUUCCGAUUUUGCGAAGAAGAUCCCAAUCGUUGAAAACUGAGAACCAUUUUGACUUUUGCUCUCAUUCCCACAGCCACACUCUACAGUUCACAAACACAGACACACCAGGGGAGGUUGCAUUGCCCGGAGGAAAGGCAGAGGAGGGUGAUGCUGAUGAUGCAGCAACAUCAUUAAGGGAGGCAAAGGAGGAGAUUGGGCUU